GUCGCGUUUCAUCACGUUUGCAACGUUUUCAUAAAUAAUACCGUUCAGAAUUUUUUGACUAUAUUAUAUUAUUAUAUAAAUCUAUGAUAAUGAUCACUAUAAUUUAUUUAAUAAUAACAGUAAUAAUACUUAUAAUUAAGAUAUUACAAUAACAAUAUUAUCUUUAAACAACGGCCCGACAAUAUUUACAAGAUGGGGGGGGAAAUAAAACACGAGAACGAUUUCAAAACGCACUUAGGAUGUCGAGAUUCGUAUACAUAAUAAUGCAAUGAUAAGAAAAUAAUAAUAAUAAUAAUAAUAACAAUGCUCUCACAACGGUAAGAUGGAUAUGGUGUUUGGUUGUUUCAUCCCCGUUAACCGUCGGACACCUGUGUAAUAUAUUUUCCUCCGGAGAUGUAAUACAAUCAAAUUUCGUCCACAGACCAUUUACCUCCUACCCCAAGUAAAAAAUCUAAACAGUUUCCUCUAUUUUCCACGUUUUCUUCUUUUCCACGAAGAAAAACGAGAAAUAAUUGUUGUUACCUACCCUCCUAUAACAAUUUGUAUAGUUAUAAGUAUGUAUCUAUAUGAAUGCCGUACAUUUUUUUUUUUUUUAACGACCAAGAAUAUUGUUUAUAUUAAAACCAAGAACGGGGUCAUUAAUAAACAGGUUAUGUAAAAGUUUAGUAAAAAAAAAAAAAAAAAUAUGUAGAUUUUAAAUUGUUUAAAACAAAUAAAACGAAAAAAAAUAAUAAUAAAUAAUGUAAGCGAUGAUGUUUACUAUUUAUUAUUAUGUCUAUUGAUUGUAAUACUAUUGGCAUAGUCGUCUAAACGGUUUUGUAACACGAUUAAUAUUGCUCCUCGACGUUUUAUGAUCAUGGCAUGAUAUUGUAUCGUUUUGAAGUUUGCGAAAUAUUGCUCGGUAUCCGAAAGGGCUCCGGUGGUUUUGAUGAUUUGGCUUGGGAUCCCGUCGGGGUUUGCACUCGGAGAAGCUCAACCGCAUAGACACACGGUUUUAGUCCAUAAAAAAAAAAAUUAAAAAAUAAAUAUACUUGUAUACACAUAUAACAUAAAUUAUGUUCGGAGGAAAAUGGUCUCGCGUCCGUAUUGUCCUUGUGGGUCCGCAUUAAACGUUCCAUAACGUGAGCGUAUUUGUCUGCGUUUAUGGGUGCCCGAAUUCGAAAUUUAUUGUCGCCGUAAUAACGGAGUUCGAACUUGAGAUUCCGAUACGCGCCUCCUAAUGAGAUAAUAAUAUGAAAUGAUUUUUCCGACAAACGGAUGUAACGGUGCGUGGACGUUGAAACGAUAAUAUUUCUGUAGUGGUUUGCGCGUAGACCGAGUCGAAAUCAAAACUGGGUGUAAUCACAUUGGUAUAUCACCCGGAUAUGCGGCGCUGCUGGAGUGAUGUGUACAGACGGCGUCGGAGGCGGACGUUUUCAGGCGGGACUGAGGUGGUCGAAAAGAUAAAUAUCGGCCAACGGGAAAGUGGAUUAAAGAAAUUAUGAUCGCUGAUAAUAAACCGUAUAUGUAAAUUUACGAGGAUUAAUGUGCGGUUUGACGUUUUCGCGUGUUACAAUAUUUUAAUAUUCCCUAAAAACAAAAACAAUUCAGUUUGUUGAGCUUUUUUUUUUUUU
rnacentral:lncRNA from 1 species